GUUCCGCCUCCCGAGCGACGGGGAACUGUUGCACUUUACAGUACUAUAUGGUUUUGUGCGCAGACUUCCUGCGCAGACCAAUUUGUUACAAGCUCGAAUCACACACAAAUCUGGGGGCAUACACAUAUAUCUGUCUGCAGGUAAACACGUUGUUUACAGCCACCUAGCUAUAUAACACUAAUUUAAGCUAGGGAGCUUUCGCUGGCUGAAAAAUCGACUUUUAUUGGAGCUUAAACCUAUAGAGCCUCGUACUAUGACGCGCUAAUCGGUGACCGUAUUAUUGAGUGCCAAAUUCUCGACUUAUUUCCAAUGUCUACGCGACUCUGCUAGCCCUAGUAUUGAGAAAAAUCAAUAGGAAGUAAAUAAAAAUGUUGCAUGCCUGAAACUCGCUUGGCGGAUACUCUGAAACUACGUACAUAUAAUCAGUUUUUCUAUCGGGAACCGAGGUAUCCAAGAUGUACGGAAUCACUCAAUCAACUGUAAACAAUCAACGCUUUCGAGUUCGUGAUAUGGAUAACGAGCAGAUCAUGUCCACUUUUGGGAACAUAGGUCACCUAUUGAACAUUGCCGUGGAGCGAUUUAUAACGAUUGGCGAGAUCAUCGCCGAGGAGAACAUUGACAUCAAGGGAGACAUGUACGAGGCGGCGAAGGAGGCCAGAGAUGCGGGAAAAUCUAUUGAACGACUUUGUGAUAUUUCACCUCUAAGCGGCAUGGAGCUGCGCCACCACAUCGAGCCCCUGAAGGACUAUGGAGCCAUCAUAUUGGCGGCCCGCUCGCUGCUGUCCUCCGUCACGCGCAUCCUACUCCUGGUUGACAUCAUAGUUGUGAAGAAGCUGCUGACCGCCAAGAAGCGGGCCUCCGAGAGCCUGGAGAAGCUGGAGUCGGUCAUGAACUUCACCGAGUUCGUGCGGGCAUUCUCCGUGUUCGGAACUGAAAUGAUUGAGCUGGCCUACCUCACUGGCCACCACCGCAACUCGUUCAAGGAGGAACGGCGGCGGGCCCAGAUGUUUUCAGCCCGCCAGAUCCUGGAGAAGUCCAUCGCCAUCCUGCUGACGUCCUCGAAGAACAGUCUGAUCCACAGCGAUUGCGUGAUCGUGAAGGAGAACCGGGACACGGUCUUCUGCCAGAUCCGCAGGGCCAUGGACCUCAUCCACUUCGUGGUGAAGGACAGCAUCUUCGACUCGGCCAAGCACAUGCCCUUCGAGAAGCAGGCCAGCAACCCGAACUACGAGAACGAGAGCAUCUACACGACAAUAAAGCGCAUUGUGAAUCUCAUCAAGCGGUACAAGUACCAGAUGAGCUACUACGAGGGCUCCGGCGAGGGCAACAACAACUCCGACGCCUACUUCAGUUUCCUGGACGACGACCUGUGGAAGUCGGAGAAGAACCUGCCCUCCGCGGCGGGCGGCGGGCGCAUGGUGAACAACACCAACUUCAGGAAGCACCUCAGCUCCGAAAGCCUGGACCUGCGCGAGGAGCUCUCCCUCGCCUUCGAGAAGCUCUUCGAGAAGGCGCACGACUUCACCGACUCCCCCUACAUCAGCCACAACCACCGCAAGAACAUCCUGUCCUACUGCGACAACUGUAAGCUGGAGUUCGACCUGUACCUGAACACCAUCAUGAAGGAUCAGCACGAGGGCGGCGGAGUCGGCGGAGUUGGUGGAGUGGGUGGUGUGGGCGGAGUGGGAGGCCAGGUGAAGGGUCGCUCAGAUCCCGAGCUGGGGAUGCUCAGCAGCCUGGAGGAGCUGUGCAAGCAGCUGGUCGUCUCCGUGUCCAGCCAGAUCGAGGACUUUAACGAGUCGCUCAAGAUCUGCUCCAAGCUGGUCAAGUCGUUCCACGUACUGGCAACGAACUACGACAUCGACAAUCUGAACCAGCGCUCCACGAAGUUCCACGACUGCUGCGACCACAUCUUCGACAUCUGCAAGCUGCUCCAGCACAUUGCGCCCACGGAGCGGCUGCAGGUGCAGGCCAAGUGCCUGGCGAUUAACCUGAGGAUCUACGGGCCGCAGGUCUUCAUCGCGGCCAAGAUCCUGUGGAAGUACUCCAACAGCAGUGCGGCCAACGAGAACUUUGAGUCCUUCUCGGACAUGUGGAAGUGGCUGACGAACGAGAUCUCCAUGAUCGCCAAGAAGAUCCUCGUUUCAAUCAACACCACUAAGAGUGACAGAGAAGCUGAUGCUGAGAAAUGCGAGAGCUCAGACAAACUAACAAAAUCCGGUGUACCUGCAACAGAAGACGGAGAAAUGGUUGAGUAUUCUGGCCUCGAAGGCAAGAACAACGGAGAUCUGAACACAUAUCAAUCAAAAUGGAGCGAAGACUUGUCGGACGACAACGACAUACUGAAGAGAGCCAAGAACAUGUCCGCGAUGGCUUUCCUAAUGUAUCAGUUUACCAAGGGCAACGGUUCUCUAAGAACAACUCAGGAUUUGUUUACUCAAGCCGAAUAUUUUGCGGAGGAGGCCAACCGACUUUACAAAGUCCUCCGCCACUUUUCAUACCAGGUUCCCGCUAGUGACAACAAAAAGGAUCUCCUCAACAUUUUAGAUAGAGUGCCGACUUUUGUCCAAGCACUCCAGUUUACAGUCAAAGACCACACGGUGGGCAAAGCUGCCACGUUCGUGAAGGUCGAUCACGUCAUCAGGGAAACCAAGAACCUUAUGAACGUUAUAAAUAAAGUAGUGUCGAAGUGCUUUGAGUGCGCAACUAAGGUAAAUAGGCCCAGGCCAGGCCACGCGGCCAUUUCCUAUUUGUAGUGGGUACUACAGAUUCUCGAUGUGUAUGAUUUCUAUAGUUUACUGUGAUAUUAAAGCAUGCAUUAUUACAGGUAUGAUUUAAGAGCUUUUCGUUCGCAGGAGCAGCGUUUUGGUUUUUGAGGAUGUUCUUUCCCCGUUUCAUGCUCCGAGCCUUAUUAGUUACCUUUCUAUCUUUUGCUUUCAAACUAUGCUAAUGUAGCCUGCGCUGUAUCUUUCUGUAUUACAUCCCCUAGCUGACCAGAUCCCCCAAAGUGGUUAACCCACCCAUUGAUUUCGGGCACUCGUACGGUGCAGUACCAGCUCCUACUAACUCCACCCUAAUCCUUGCUCCGCCUUGCAGUACAAACUAAAUUUAACUGGGAUAACCGGAGGACUCACAUC